UGUCAGGGAACGAAUAUGUGGUGGUAAGUUAUUCCAGUGUGAUGGGGCCAUAAAUCUAAAAGCUCUCGUUCCAAUUGUGCUGAAAGUCUAAGUUGAUAUCUUGAUGAAUACUGGGGUCCGUUUCACAAAAGUAGGAUUCAGACAUCCAGGAUAAGUAAGUAAGCCUGGCUCAACCAAUCCAAAACAACAGAGUUCAGGCUUAAUUGGUUCCACAAACGCCAAGCCAGGAUAAGUAGACACGGAUUCAUCAAGCCAGGUGAAACUAAUCCUGGAUAAGUUGCAGCACAUGGCUCCUUAAAUAGACCCUGUAAUUGAUCACAGAUUCACUGAUUCACCAUGGCAUCACGUGCAGCAUACUUCUCCCCAUCGGAGCAGGACAUAAUUAUGGAGGCCUACGAAGAGGUAAAAGAACAAAUUAAAAAGAAAGGAAACACUGCCACCGCCAUCAAACAAAGAGAGAAAGCAUGGCAAAGUAUUGCAGACCGCCUGAAUGCGUAUGUAUUGCACAAACACACACUCACUACCCUGCUGAAUCCAUCACAAUUACAAUCCAAAUAGUUAAUUAACAUUCCCAAAAACGUAGUUAUACUCUGAUUAUGAAACUGCGAGUGAAAUGGACUGUAGAUGUGAAAUUAUGUAAAUGCAACUACAUAUUUGCUCCUCAGUUAUUUCAUUCACUAUCUAUGUGUGUGUGUGUGUGUUAUUUAUUUUGUCUUAAUUAAUUUAUUAUUCUUAGAUUAAACAUGACUGGGCCCAAACGAACUUGGCAACAAGUCAAGAUCAAAUAUAAGAACAUCCUGCAGAAUGCUGUUAAAAAAAAACCCACAAGCAAGGCACGGGUGGUGGGUGACCACCAGCUGACCUCACCCCUGCAGAGGACAGAGCCCUGGAACUUAACAGAGGCAGGCCUGUGUUAGAGGGGAUCCCUGGGGGGACAGACUCAAAUAUAAAUCCCUCCCAGGAAGAUGCCUCCCUCUUCAUUAAAGGUACAUUCUUCCAUCUUUACAUGGGACAUAACCAACCAUUCAUAUUGAAUCCAUUUGGACUAUCUGACUCUGUUUUACCUUGCAGUAUCUGGAAACACCAUCUCACUGUUGGAGCCUCCAACAGUGGCGUCACCAAUACCAGAGGAUGAUGAUCCAGUGAGUCCUCCAUCAAAGUCAUACUGUAAGCCUGGCAUGUCUCAUCUGCUUGCUUUAAUAUGAAUCCCUUUUAAAUGUGAUAGGGUGAAGGCACCAGUGGAGCAGCAGGAGCAGCAGAUGAAGUCGAUGAGGAGACUGUGUCUCUUGAUUCAAGAAGGUUUGAGGUAUCAUGUCAAAUGAAAGUACUCAUUCAGUCUACAAUGGUGAGAAGUCAUCAUCAUCUGGAGCCCACACAAAAUGUCAUUUCUGUAACAGGACCCAGAUGCUCUACAGGAUGAAAGCCAGCCUUGCAACAUAAACUCACAAGCUAUCAGACAGCUGUAUGCCACACAUCUGAAACGGCAAAUACAACUGGCCGAUAUGGACAUUGAAUACAAAAGAAGACAGAUGGCAGACCUCUCCGUGGAGUCCGAAAUUAAAAGGAGGAAACUGAGGAAACUGAACCUUGAAAUAAAAAAACUUGAGCGGGAGGUGAGUUUCACCUUCAGUGUACACUGUAUGCUGACUGUAACACAGACAAUCUAUUAAUUAUUAUUCUCCUUUCCUCACCCAGCUUCAAGAAGAAGAAUCUUAAAUAAAAGAUCAAAAGACCUUCUGUGGUGUUUGCUUGUUUAAUUUGUGCACAGUUAGGUGGGAUUGCAGAUUGUAUUCCACAGUCUGACAUAAUGCCUAGUGUCAUCUCUAUGGUAGCCCCAAGUGCUUUGAUUGGUUAGAAGUCACACACCAAAGACUGGCUGUAUUAAGACAAAAAGAAAUGCACAUAAUGUACCUGAAAUGCUAUUUCCCAGAUAUCAAAACACUUUAUGGCAGAAGUUGAGCAGUGUGAAGGUCAAACAGGGAGCAUUUUAAUCAAUUAUCUAUUCUUUAAGGCAAUAGGUAUCCUGAUAAUUAGAUAACCAUUUGUAGCUUGUGAGAGUGCAAAGGUGUUCCUCAUUAAAUCUAGCGAUCCAAUAGCCUAUAUGAAGGCCCAAAAUGGUGUGUUCCUUCCUGCUCAAACAAUGGCGUGUCCAUUCCUGCAAGAGGUUGUGGAUGGAGAAGCUCUUGUGCUCAGGAGAGCCUUCAGGCGGGAGAGGGUCUUCAGGGACAGGGCGAACCCAUUGG